GGGGAUUUAGCUCAGUGAUAAAAGUGCCUGCCUCACAAGCAUGAGGGUGUGAGUUCAAUCCCCA
rnacentral:tRNA from 1 species